rnacentral:tRNA from 1 species
GGGGCCGUAGUUCACUUGGGAGAACGUUACACUGGCAGUGUAAAGGUAACGGGUUCGAAUCCCGUCGGCUCCA